GACGAACGCUGGCGGCGUGCUUAACACAUGCAAGUCGAACGAAGAGCGAUGGAAGCUUGCUUCUAUCAAUCUUAGUGGCGAACGGGUGAGUAACGCGUAAUCAACCUGCCCUUCAGAGGGGGACAACAGUUGGAAACGACUGCUAAUACCGCAUACGAUCUAAUCUCGGCAUCGAGGAUAGAUGAAAGGUGGCCUCUACAUGUAAGCUAUCACUGAAGGAGGGGAUUGCGUCUGAUUAGCUAGUUGGAGGGGUAACGGCCCACCAAGGCGAUGAUCAGUAGCCGGUCUGAGAGGAUGAACGGCCACAUUGGGACUGAGACACGGCCCAGACUCCUACGGGAGGCAGCAGUGGGGAAUCUUCCGCAAUGGACGAAAGUCUGACGGAGCAACGCCGCGUGAGUGAUGACGGCCUUCGGGUUGUAAAGCUCUGUUAAUCGGGACGAAAGGCCUUCUUGCGAACAGU
rnacentral:rRNA from 1 species